CCCUUAGAUGUCCUGGGCCGCACGCGCGCUACACUGACAUGUUCAACAAGCCUCCUAGUUCGACAGGAUUUGGGAAAUCUUUGAACGCAUGUCGUGAUAGGGAUAGAUCAUUGCAAUUAUUGAUCUUGAACGAGGAAUUCCUAGUAAACGCGAGUCAUCAGCUCGCAUUGAUUACGUCCCUGCCCUUUGUACACACCGCCCGUCGCACCUACCGAUUGAAUGGUUCGGUGAAGAUUCCGGAUAGGACUUUUUUGAUUUAUUUCAAUUUUGUCUUAAAAGCUAUCUAAACCUCAACAUUUAGAGGAAGGUGAAGUCGUAACA
rnacentral:rRNA from 1 species